UACGGAGGGGGCUAGCGUUGUUCGGAAUUACUGGGCGUAAAGCGCACGUAGGCGGCUUGUAAGUUAGAGGUGAAAGCCCAGGGCUCAACCCUGGAAUUGCCUUUAAGACUGCAUCGCUUGAACAUCGGAGAGGUAAGUGGAAUUCCGAGUGUAGAGGUGAAAUUCGUAAGAUAUUCGGAAGAACACCAGUGGCGAAGGCGACUUACUGGACGAUUGUUGACGCUGGAGGUGACGAAAGCCGUGGGGAGCAAACAGG
rnacentral:rRNA from 1 species